AGCGAACGCUGGCGGCAGGCCUAACACAUGCAAGUCGAACGAAGUCUUCGGACUUAGUGGCGGACGGGUGAGUAACACGUGGGAACGUGCCUUUAGGUUCGGAAUAGCUCAGGGAAACUUGUGCUAAUACCGAAUGUGCCCUUCGGGGGAAAGAUUUAUCGCCUUUAGAGCGGCCCGCGUCUGAUUAGCUAGUUGGUGAGGUAAAGGCUCACCAAGGCGACGAUCAGUAGCUGGUCUGAGAGGAUGAUCAGCCACAUUGGGACUGAGACACGGCCCAAACUCCUACGGGAGGCAGCAGUGGGGAAUCUUGCGCAAUGGGCGAAAGCCUGACGCAGCCAUGCCGCGUGAAUGAUGAAGGUCUUAGGAUUGUAACAUUCUUUCACCGGGGACGAUAAUGACGGUACCCGGAGAAGAAGCCCCGGCUAACUUCGUGCCAGCCGCCGCUGUAACAC
rnacentral:rRNA from 1 species